UAGGGCCACAGAAGGCAGGAUCUGCAAUGACUUCCACCAUGUUCUGGUGCCCUCUCCUCCUCACCCUCCUCGCUCACUGCACAGGGUCCUGGGCCCAGUCUGUGUUGACUCAGCCACCUUCCGUGUCUGGGUCCCUGGGCCAGACAGUCACCAUCUCCUGCACUGGAAGCAGCUCCAACAUUGGGAAUUAUGGUCUUGCCUGGUAUCAACAACUCCCAGGCACACCCCCUAAAACUGUCAUCUAUUGGGAUGAUAGCAGACCCUCUGGGAUCCCCAUUCGAUUCUCUGGCUCCAGGUCUGGCAUCUCAGGCACCCUGACCAUCACUGGACUCCAGGCUGAGGAUGAGGCUGAGUAUUACUGCUCAGCAUGGGACAGUAGUCUCAGUGCUCACACAGUGCUCCAGACCUGUGGGGAAGUGAGACAAAAACCUGCCCUCCUCACAGUGAUGGGGUUACCUUGUGCAGACACCACCUUAACUAUUUUCCCUCCAUCUUCAUGCCCCUAG